rnacentral:rRNA from 1 species
AGUGAACGCUGGCGGUAGGCCUAACACAUGCAAGUCGAACGGCAGCACAGUAAGAGCUUGCUCUUACGGGUGGCGAGUGGCGGACGGGUGAGGAAUACAUCGGAAUCUACUUUUUCGAGGGGGAUAACGUAGGGACACUUACGCUAAUACCGCAUACGGCGUACGGGUGGAAGCUUCGGAUCUUCCGACCUUGCGCGAUUGUAGGAGCCGAUGUCGGAUUGGCUAGUUGGCGGGGUAAAGGCCCACCAAGGCGACGAUCCGUAGCUGGUCUGAGAGGAUGAUCAGCCACACUGGAACUGAGACACGGUCCAGACUCCUACGGGAGGCAGCAGUGGGGAAUAUUGGACAAUGGGCGCAAGCCUGAUCCAGCCAUACCGCGUGUGUGAAGAAGGCCUUCGGGUUGUAAAGCCCUUUUGUUGGGAAAGAAAAGCAGCAGGUUAAUACCCCGCUGUUCUGACGGUACCCAAAGAAUAAGCACCGGCUAACUUCGUG